rnacentral:rRNA from 1 species
UACGUAGGGUGCAAGCGUUGUCCGGAAUUAUUGGGCGUAAAGAGCUCGUAGGCGGUCUGUCGCGUCUGCUGUGAAAACUCAGGGCUUAACCCUGAGCUUGCAGUGGGUACGGGCAGGCUCGAGUUCGGUAGGGGAGACUGGAAUUCCUGGUGUAGCGGUGAAAUGCGCAGAUAUCAGGAGGAACACCGAUGGCGAAGGCAGGUCUCUGGGCCGAUACUGACGCUGAGACGCGAAAGCGUGGGGAGCAAACAGG